AUAAUGAGAGACAUGCAUGUAUCAUUUUGAAUCAUCCUCCCUAUAGCAAGUGGCAAAGGGCUUGGUGGUUGGUACCAGAGACCCAAUUUCGAAUCCUAAUUGAUUCAUAUUUCCAGCUAAGUUUAUUUCUAAAUAAAAUAAACGAAGCGGGUAGCGUGCUACCUAUCUCUCAAAAAUAAUAAUAAUAAUAAUAAUAAUGUAGUAGUAUAUUUUCAU
rnacentral:lncRNA from 1 species